UGCAGUCGAGGGGUAUAGUUCUUCGGAAUUAGAGACCGGCGCACGGGUGCGUAACGCGUAUGCAAUCUACCUUUCACAGAGGGAUAGCCCAGAGAAAUUUGGAUUAAUACCUCAUAGUAUAGCAGUUUCGCAUGAAACCACUAUUAAAGAUUUAUCGGUGAAAGAUGAGCAUGCGUCCCAUUAGUUAGUUGGUAAGGUAACGGCUUACCAAGACAACGAUGGGUAGGGGUCCUGAGAGGGAGAUCCCCCACACUGGUACUGAGACACGGACCAGACUCCUACGGGAGGCAGCAGUGAGGAAUAUUGGACAAUGGGCGCAAGCCUGAUCCAGCCAUGCCGCGUGCAGGAUGACGGUCCUAUGGAUUGUAAACUGCUUUUAUACGAGAAGAAACACUCCGACGUGUCGGAGCUUGACGGUAUCGUAAGAAUAAGGAUCGGCUAACUCCGUGCCAG
rnacentral:rRNA from 1 species